CUACGUGCCAGCAGCCGCGGUAAUACGUAGGUGGCAAGCGUUGUCCGGAUUUAUUGGGCGUAAAGCGAGCGCAGGCGGUCAAUUAAGUCUGAUGUGAAAGCCCCCGGCUCAACCGGGGAGGGUCAUUGGAAACUGGUUGACUUGAGUGCAGAAGAGGAGAGUGGAAUUCCAUGUGUAGCGGUGAAAUGCGUAGAUAUAUGGAGGAACACCAGUGGCGAAGGCGACUCUCUGGUCUGUAACUGACGCUGAGGCUCGAAAGCGUGGGUAGCAAACAGGAUUAGAUACCCUGGUAGUCCACGCCGUAAACGAUGAGUGCUAAGUGUUAGACCCUUUCCGGGGUUUAGUGCCGUAGCUAACGCAUUAAGCACUCCGCCUGGGGAGUACGACCGCAAGGUUGAAACUCAAAGGAAUUGACGGGGGCCCGCACAAGCGGUGGAGCAUGUGGUUUAAUUCGAAGCAACGCGAAGAACCUUACCAGGUCUUGACA
rnacentral:rRNA from 1 species